CCAACAUGGAUGCCCCCGGAGGUCACUCUCCCUGGAGGUUCUGUCCAGGUGGCCCAGGGGAGCACAGGUACUGUCCCUUUCCACAACGUUGGCGUGAAAGCUGGACCUUGAGCCUGCACCUGCAUAUUCCUACAGCUUCUCAGAGUCCUGUGGACAAUGGCUGAGGAGACAAACCAUGCAGGAAACAUCU
ensembl:snoRNA SNORA73 Small nucleolar RNA SNORA73 family